rnacentral:rRNA from 1 species
GGACCAAGGAGUCUAGCAUGUGCGCGAGUCAUUGGGAUUUUUACUAAACCUAARGGCGCAAUGAAAGUGAAGGUCCGCCUUGCGCGGUCCGAGGGAGGAUGGAUCGUACCGAGGUACAGUCUCGCACUCCCGGGGCGUCUCGUUCUCAUCGCGAGAAGAGGCGCACCCAGAGCGUACACGCUGGGACCCGAAAGAUGGUGAACUAUGCCUGGUCAGGACGAAGUCAGGGGAAACCCUGAUGGAGGUCCGUAGCGAUUCUGACGUGCAAAUCGAUCGUCGGAACUGGGUAUAGGGGCGAAAGACUAAUCGAACCAUCUAGUAGCUGGUUCCCUCCGAAGUUUCCCUCAGGAUAGCUGGCGCUCGCUUCUCGCGAGUCUCAUUCGGUAAAGCGAAUGAUUAGAGGCAUUGGGGUCGAAACGGCCUCAACCUAUUCUCAAACUUUAAAUGGGUGAGAUCUCCGGCUUGCUUGAACUAUGAAGCCGCGAGAUAUCGGAUCAGAGUGCCAAGUGGGCCACUUUUGGUAAGCAGAACUGGCGCUGUGGGAUGAACCAAACGCAGAGUUAAAGCGCCUAAAUCGACGCUUAUGGGAUACCAUGAAAGGCGUUGGUAACUUAAGACAGCAGG